CCCAACCCGGGUCUCCCCUCCCCGCCCCGGGCACCUUCCCGCCCUGUCGGUAAUGGAAGGAGAAGCUUGGUCCCUCCCUUCAGCACUCUUGCCCUCAGUCUCGUUUUCCAGCAAACGGAAGAAAAUGGUGAGCAGGUGUUGCUGAAAAAUGGAAGCUAUUUGCAAAUCUUCAGAUAAGAGAACACCAAGGAAACAGACCAAACAUGCGAGCAGUCAGAUAGAGGGCGCCGGCGGAGCGGAGGAAAGGUGACUGCGCAUCCUCUUCAGGGCUAAAGGCUUUCAUGGCACUAGGAAAACACUGACCCCACAGAAUUCAACAGACUUUAUUGCCCAUAGCUGUUUUCUUUGGAGGGAUGUUGCUGAGAUGCAGCAGUGCCCCAAAAGAUGUGAAGUUGGCCGAGGACACGAUGUGUUCGGUGACUCCGGGCUCGUCCUUGUGGCACAGAAGCUGCAGGGGAAUUGAAAACCAGCAGCAGGAGCUGGUCUGUGUCUCACAAGCAAUGUCUGUGUCCCACUGCUUCAUCCUCUGUGCCACGCAAGGCAUAUCAUUCAGGCUGCUUUUCACCAGUUGUGGUGAAAAAUCAGUAAAAGGGAAUGAGAAAUGGGGUCAGUUGCAAGAUGUAGCUGUAAUGAAGAGAUCUGCCUGGCAGUCUGAUGGAAAAUGUUUGUACAGUAUUAAUAUGUCUGGGACGACUCCAUGCAUAGCUGCAAUCUGUGGGUCACCGGAUUCAUGGAAGUCCCAUAGCUAAAUCUCAUUAUGUCUUGCCAGAGAGAGAGGUCUGGAAAAAAAGAACCUGGACUUGGAGGUCAGGGGACCUUGUUGCUCUUCUUUUGGCAAAAUGAUCCCACCCCAUGGGCUCAGGCCGUAAGAUCUGAGCCCGGGUUGUUGGGAGCAGUGGGAGGCAGCUGGGGAAGUCUGGCAUGCAGCGCAGUUUUGACCAGGCAGGCUCCAGAGAACCCCGGUAGCUUUGGCCCAGAGUGUGCCGGCAUGGGAGGGCUAAAACCAGCCUGUAAAAGAGACAAGGGAGUAUUGUACACCUUUUUUUUCCCACGUCAUUAAUAUUAGCACACAGGAACUUCUCCUUUUUCUUGGACAACCCACUGUUUCUCAUCGCUUUCAACCAUAGGGAAAGAAUUGACACAGAUUAUGUUCUUAUUUAGGAAACCUAAAGAUGGCAUUAGAGCUUUUUUUGUGUCUCUAUCACCCAUUCGUACACUUUUGCAAAUCCUAUCUUUUAAGAGCUCUUUCCCCCCACCUCCUUCCUUUGCACAGUUUCCAUCUCUCUCUCUUCCAUCCCUAGUCCUUCUGCUCCUUACGCCCAAAAUCACACAGGCUUUUAAAUUUGUGCUUGUACCAAGGAGUGCUUGGUAAAUCAGAAGAGCGUCCUUCCAGGUUCCAAGUACAAGAACGUUACUUAGUUUUACUGAAAACGAGGUAAUGCUCCUCUUCAAGAACACCAGCUCUGGGUGAGUAAUGUUCAAACACCCAGAAGAGCCUUUGGUUCUGCUAAUCGCAGUAAGAACAGCAGUUGGGAUUAGAUACUAUUCCGAGAGGGACAGAGCUAAAAAGGGGCCGCACGAAACAGAGCCAGCGUACCCUCGCUGUCAGAUCACUAUUUAUAGAAGGCUGGAUAAAUGAAUAAAUCCUGCCUUUCACUUCCAAUUAAGCAACUCCCCAUUUCUUUGUUGAGUAACCUGCACGUUUGUUGUCUUUUAAGCACUUAGAUUACCAGCUGAGAUCACAUUUUAAAUUGCAUUUCACUGUGCAAAAUACCUUGGGUCUUCUUCCUACAGAGUGGUUAGAGGCCAGGAAGUUUUGCAUAUGUACAGAUCUUGAGACAAAAAAAGAUUUGUGUGGUUUAGAUGGUUCAGGAUUUCUCUAGGAAAAACACUAUUCCAGGCACCUGAUUUUACUCCUCACAUUCAAACUGACUGGCACCUUACUUAAGGAGUUAGUGGGGGUACUCACGGCAAAAGGUACUGCUUUAUGGGCACAAUAAUUGCAAACUAAAUAAAAAAUUGGUAUUUAAUUGCAUCCUAUUGUUUUCUGGCCUUGUUUAGAUUUGAAAUGUUUUAGUGCCUGGAAAGUACUUAUCAUUUAAUUAUUUGUCCAGUUUCCUUGGAAAUGCUUCUGUAAUGAUGUCAGUGAUGGGUUUUUUUCAACUAAAGAAGCCCAGAAUGUUGUCUCCUUCUUAAAUACACCUUUGUAAUUGUCCUUAAAGGCAUACAAAUGCCUUUUUGUGCCUUUGCCAUUUUUCUGUAGUGAUAGAUUUGUUUAAAUGAAUUACAAAUCAAAAGUAUAAUGCAAAAGUUUUUUUGUUAUUUUAACAUUAAUAUUCUACUAUCAAAAAGGAUUCAAAAUUCAUGUAAUUAUGGGGGGGGAUAUUCUUUUAUAUAAGACUGUUGUAACUCAGACAGGUGAAGAAAGCUGGAGGUAAUGUAUAGUAGAAUGAAUGCAUACUAAAAGCACUAGCAAAGCAGUAGGUUUAUAAAAAAACCAAACCAACUUGCUAUGUGGACUGGAAAUUAUGUUCGCAUCAAAUGUGUAAAAUAGUUACAAAAAUAUCCUAAGUUCUGUAUUUUUGUUGCUGAAACCUAUUAUUACAUCAGAAGCUGUAACACUGCAUCUCCAUAAUUUUGAAUGUCCACGUUGAGACAUCAGGGACUGAUUUUUAGUCAAAUUUAGGUAGCAGUAGGCACGUCUAAAAAUAAAGUCUAAUGCUUGCAAGACAUUCAACCAUAGAAAACCACACAAUCAGUUGUAAAUUGUCCUCUGCUGCUGGAGCCUGGUUUUAAAUUGCCAGAUAAGGGAUUGUAUUUUUAAUGUCUCUUCAAAAUACCUUUGAGUCAGGGACUUUUUGUUCUGCCUUAGUGCAGAGCCUAGCAGCUGGGCUGGCACCAAGCUCCUGCAAGCUCCCGUAGUACAAAUGCGUAAAAUAAUAAUGAUAAUGGACGGAUCUGAGCACCUUCCUGAAAAGUACAAACAAACAGCAAUACUGAACACAAAUUAGAGAUACACUAGCCCAGCAGCAUAAAGCUUGAGAAGAAUUAUCUAGUUAAUUUAUUUCAAAAGAUAAAGUAGAUCUCCCAAUGCAGAUUUUAUCUUUAGUAUAGUCUAUUUAUUUGCCUUCUAAGCUUAACUGGAUGUUUGUCGAGUCACUGGCCCGAGUAAUUCAAACACCUUGGCUUCAUAUGAAUCCAGAAAAUGGUGGUCAGGUGCUACUUGGUUUUACUCUGUUUCCGUUUUCCCCUUCCCCCAUCUAAGCUUUGCCAACGUACCACAGUGUUGGCCUUCAAAUCAGCCCUAAAACUCUGCUGACCAAUUUUAUUCGUACCAAAAGGUGCAGCACUCUGGGAACUGUGGACAAAAGGGAACCACAAUAGGAUCACAAUAAAAUCUGCCGUUUCCAGAAGUCCCGAACUCUGACUUGCCCUCCUGGCGAGCCCAUCAGACAGGAUGGCCCUCGAGGUUUCUUAGUUCAGACUCCUCGAUUCCCAUAAUUAUUCUUCCACCAUGGCUUUUAUCCACCUGCAAAAGGUCAGUGUGGGAUGCGGGUGACUUGGUUGUUUUGAGGAUGAUGUGGCAAAAUGUUUGUUGGCUGUCAUGCUGAGGUUUGCUCGUAUUUAUGUUUCAUCUACAUAGAAGUCGGUGGAUCUGUGCUGAUCUACCACUUUUACAAAUUAUCAAAUAAUGGAUGUGAUAAGAACUAACAGAAAAGAAAUAUCUGAGGGUAAAAAUAGUUCCAAUGAUCAUUUUAUUAAUUUCUGAGAGUGAGAAUGUCCAUCUCAUUUGUAGGGUACUUACCUGUUAUUUGCAGAUAAGACAUUUAAAGCAACUGUAUUUUUAUUUUGAGGAAAUCUUUACGAUUUUCCUUUCCCACAGAAUGACUUUGGAUGGUAGAAGAGCAGUUUAAUGUCAACAGGACUUGUUGCUGGACAAUGUAACAUUUGACAUUGUUCCUAAUUUAAAUCUUCCUUAAGAAUUCAUUCAAGUAUAUAUUUGUAUAAAUAAAAAAUUGAUUUAAUCUCACUAAUAAUUACUCUAGUCCAAUUACUAUUUAAACAGCAUGAUAACAGCUUCAGGGGCAGAUUUUGUUACCUAAGUUUAGCCAAUAGGAUUGUCCCAGGAUUACAGUGCUGUCUAUUUUAAGAGAUCAAAUUUUAUCUUGAUUAUUUAAAAAGGAGUCAAUUUUCCUCUUCUCUUGAAAGAGAAAGUUGGCCAAGGCAGUUUGCGCUUCCUGGGACAUCACACACUACCACCUAACAGAAAAUUCCUGCUCUCUACAACUUUGAGUCACAU